AGCAGUCGCCGCGGUAAUACGUAGGGUGCGAGCGUUGUCCGGAAUUACUGGGCGUAAAGAGCUCGUAGGUGGUCUGUCGCGUCAUUUGUGAAAGCCCGGGGCUUAACUCCGGGUUGGCAGGUGAUACGGGCAUGACUGGAGUACCGUAGGGGAGACUGGAAUUCCUGGUGUAGCGGUGAAAUGCGCAGAUAUCAGGAGGAACACCGGUGGCGAAGGCGGGUCUCUGGGCAGUAACUGACGCUGAGGAGCGAAAGCAUGGGUAGCGAACAGGAUUAGAUACCCCUGUAGUCCCUGUCUCUUAUA
rnacentral:rRNA from 1 species